AUACGGAGGAUCCUAGUGUUAUCCGGAUUUAUUGGGUUUAAAGGGAGCGUAGGCGGGAGGUCAAGUCAGCUGUGAAAUGUAUCUGCUUAACGGGUACACUGCAGUUGAAACUGGUUUUCUUGAGUGCGUAAGAGGCAGGCGGAAUUCGUUGUGUAGCGGUGAAAUGCUUAGAUAUGACGAGGAACUCCUAUUGCGAAGGCAGCUUGCUGGGUCGUUACUGACGCUGAUGCUCGAAGGUGCGGGGAUCAAACAGGAUUAGAUACCCUGGUAGUCCGCACAGUAAACUAUGGAUACUCUCUGCCGGCGAUAUAUUGUCGGUGGCCAAGCGAAAGCGUUAAGUAUCCCACCUGGGGAGUACGUUCGCAAGAAUGAAACUCAAAUGAAUUGGCGGGG
rnacentral:rRNA from 1 species